rnacentral:lncRNA from 1 species
GGGGUAGCUUUUCCUUAAUUCUUUUUCUUUGGGAUUGCAAAGACAAAGAGUGAAAGAGACGUUGGGAGUUGUGGGGGAGAAGAAAAGAAAUCUGACAAAGUCAAAAGAGGAGAAGUGAGGAAACGUGCGAAAUUAGAAAGAAGAAAAGGUGGUUGUUGUGGGCGGCUGGGCCUGGGCCACCUUUUUUUUAUAAUUGGAAAUGGAGAUUGGGCUA